rnacentral:rRNA from 1 species
AACGAACGCUGGCGGCAUGCCUAACACAUGCAAGUCGAACGAGACCUUCGGGUCUAGUGGCGCACGGGUGCGUAACGCGUGGGAACCUGCCCUUAGGUUCGGAAUAACUCCCCGAAAGGGGUGCUAAUACCGGAUAAUGUCUUCGGACCAAAGAUUUAUCGCCUUUGGAUGGGCCCGCGUUGGAUUAGCUAGUUGGUAGGGUAAAAGCCUACCAAGGCGACGAUCCAUAGCUGGUCUGAGAGGAUGAUCAGCCACACUGGGACUGAGACACGGCCCAGACUCCUACGGGAGGCAGCAGUGGGGAAUAUUGGACAAUGGGCGAAAGCCUGAUACAGCAAUGCCGCGUGAGUGAUGAAGGCCUUAGGGUUGUAAAGCUCUUUUACCCGGGAUGAUAAUGACAGUACCGGGAGAAUAAGCUCCGGCUAACUACGUG